rnacentral:misc_RNA from 1 species
UUUUCAGUGCCCAAAAAAAACACUCAAUAAAAAUAAUGCGUUAUUUGUCCUUGUAUUACACAAUUCGUACAUAGCUUAGUUUCUUUUAACCAAACGACCCCCAUGUCAGGAUGACGAUGGUACUCUUCACAAAGCUACAAACAUGCAUGUAGACUUCAGGCAGUCUGCAUUUGUAUUUUGCAGCUUAAAAAUUACUUUGACCAUCAACCUUCUUCCCAGUGUAUGUUAAAUUACUUUUGACCAUCAACCUUCUUCCCAGUGUAUGUUAAAUUACU